UAGUAGGUAAGCGAUGGGGUGACGCAGGAAGGUAGUCCAGCCCAGGCGAUGGUUGUCCUGGGGUAAGCAUGUAGGGAGCGAGGUAGGUAAAUCCGCCUCGUAUAUAUCCUGAGAUGUGAUGCCGAGCCGAUUGUGGUGAAGUGGAUGAUCCUAUGCUGCCGAGAAAAGCCUCUAGUGAGUGUUGUGGCGGCCCGUACCCUAAACCGACUCAGGUGGUCAGGUAGAGAAUACCAAGGCGAUCGGGUGAACUGUGGUUAAGGAACUCGGCAAAUUGCCCCCGUAACUUCGGGAGAAGGGGGACCUCUGCUGGUGAUGGGCUUUACGUUCUGAGCUGGUGGGGGUCGCAGUGGCCAGGGGGAAGCGACUGUUUACUAAAAACACAGGUCCGUGCGAAGUCGUAAGACGAUGUAUACGGACUGACGCCUGCCCGGUGCCGGAACGUUAAGGGGACCGCUUAGCCAACGCGAGUUGGCGAAGGUGAGAACUUAAGCGCCGGUAAACGGCGGUGGUAACUAUAACCAUCCUAAGGUAGCGAAAUUCCUUGUCGGGUAAGUUCCGACCUGCACGAAUGGCGUAACGACUUCCCCGCUGUCUCAACCACAGACCCGGCGAAAUUGCACUACGAGUAAAGAUGCUCGUUUCGCGCAGCAGGACGGAAAGACCCCGGGACCUUCACUACAGCUUGACAUUGGCGUUUGGAACGUCUUGUGUAGGAUAGGUGGGAGACUGGGAAGCUGUCACGCUAGUGAUGGUGGAGUCAUUGGUGAAAUACCACUCUGGUCGUUUUGAACGUCUAACUCUGGUCCGUGAUCCGGAUCGGGGACAGUGUCUGGUGGGUAGUUUAACUGGGGCGGUUGCCUCCUAAAGAGUAACGGAGGCGCCCAAAGGUUCCCUCAGCCUGGUUGGCAAUCAGGUGUUGAGUGUAAGUGCACAAGGGAGCUUGACUGUGAGACUGACAGGUCGAGCAGGAGCGAAAGCUGGGACUAGUGAUCCGGCAUCGGCGUGUGGAAGCGGUGUCGCUCAACGGCUAAAAGGUACCCCGGGGAUAACAGGCUGAUCUUCCCCAAGAGUCCAUAUCGACGGGAUGGUUUGGCACCUCGAUGUCGGCUCGUCGCAUCCUGGGGCUGGAGUAGGUCCCAAGGGUUGGGCUGUUCGCCCAUUAAAGCGGUACGCGAGCUGGGUUUAGAACGUCGCGAGACAGUUCGGUCCCUAUCCGCUGCGCGCGCAGGAGACUUGAAGGGGGCUGUCCCUAGUACGAGAGGACCGGGACGGACGAACCUCUGGUGUGCCAGUUGUACCGCCAGGUGCACGGCUGGUUGGCUACGUUCGGAAGGGAUAACCGCUGAAAGCAUCUAAGCGGGAAGCUCGCCUUGAGAUGAGGUCUCCCACCCCGUGAGGGGGUAAGGCUCCCGGUAGAUCACCGGGUUGAUAGGCCGGAGGUGGAAGCACGGUAACGUGUGGAGCUGACCGGUACUAAUAGGCCGAGGACUUGACC
rnacentral:rRNA from 1 species